GUCGACAUGGGCCAGCAUCCCUGUGGAACGCUUUUGACACCUUGUGGAGUCCAAACCCCAACGAAUUACGGAUGUUCUGAGGGAAAAAGGGGGGGGAUGCAACUCAAUAUUAGGAAGGUGUUCCUAAUGUUUGGUAUACUCAGUGUAAAUUCACAAUACAUUUCUUUGACUUGAAUUCAACAGUUUGAAUACAACAGUGUCAGCAUUAUUCUAUUAUUACGCAUGACCCAAAUUAUUUCGAGGUCUCUAAAGUGCAUCUAACCUAAACCUGUCGACAUUGAUACCCUGCGCCAAUAGUUUCUCUCCAACGAAACCGAAAGAAACUGAAAAUGUGAUUGAUCGCGGAAGUUUUUCUCGACUUGAUGGGACUGGAGUUUGGUGAAAUCCUAAGCCCAGCGCCAGCAACCCAUGACGGAGAGGGAAACUAAAGACGCCAACGGGAAUUCAGCAAUGUUGGUAACCACGCAUCUUCGGGAAAACCACGGCACAUCCUGGGUCCGCUUGCCAACGCGUUGACUUUUUACAUUAAACCGUAUUUAAACAACCACAUAGGCGACUUACCGUUUGGAUACAAUGUACGCAGCCCUACCAUGAAUAACUCCCACCGCUCUUGCUGGCUCCCGAGGACAGGGAUUUGCUCGUCUGAAGAACAUCUUAUAGAAAAUGAUAAAUGAAUCUGACUGGCAAUUUUGACACAUCCAAAGAGAGGGACCGUUGUCCCUCAGGAAAGGUGCAGCACGUUUUGCGCUCCAUCCAUGGUAUGACUCAGCAGUUCCUGUGCCAGGGCCGCAGGCAGGGCAUUAGACAACAGGGGGGCAUGGAGAAGCCAGUGGAGAUGAUGGAACAGCUGAUCAGACAGAACUGCAAACACACUGACCUGGUGAGAAGACAGAAGAGAGCUGCCCCGUGUGUGACUUCCCAGAGAACGAAGGGAAAGAAGAAGAAGAGGAUAAGACUCAUCAGAGCACUGAUAGACUGUUGGCAGAAGCUGCAGAGUGUGUACUUGCCCACAAAAUGAAUGGGAAAUACUAUGUUUUUCAUUUUCCCAAUUGUUUAAAAAAGAGCCUGUAUGGAUUGUGUUUAAUUUGGUUCUCAUUUUGUAUAGUAGAACCACAUUUGUAUGUCAGGGAUGGUGCUCUCUGUUUAUGGCCUUUCUUCUUAUACUGUAGUUCCUCAUCUAUAAACUACAGCGCACAAUAGAUCAUCUGAAUUAAAGGUAGACUCAGCGAUAUGACGUAGAUGCAGAAAGUAAACAGCGUGAAGCAAACCCGUGCACAUGGACAGAUACUGUGUCUGACAGCGUGAGAGCGAAAUGCUGCAUCUCUCAUCUCAAUAUCUCCGGUGUUGCUCGAGGCGAUGACAUUUUGCUGACUCUACCUUUAAUAAUGGUUGUUAGAGGAUGGUAUACAAUGCAAUUAAAAUAUUUACUUGUAAUAGUUUGUGCACACACAUAAAAAAUAUAUUAUCUCAUAAUCCAGAGAUUGCGAUCCUUUUUCUUAAACAUAUUUGGUGCUGUUCUAUAAAAUUAAUCAGUUAUUCAAGCUGCCCACAGCUAAUAAAGGUUUCUCAAACUGCACCAUUUGUUUUUUAUUCCUUUAAUUAUCAAUACAUAGGCUAUUACUAGAUAUCAACUGUUUUAUUCUCUUUUGAUGUGAAGUUGUUAUCAAAAUGGACAAAAAAACUGCUACAGCAGGUGGCGGCAUGGACAUGUGUGUGAACUCCAUUAUACCGAAGACAAAGAGGAGGAAGAAAAAAGACAAAGAAGAAUUUAGAUUUUUGAUUUGAUUUAUUA
rnacentral:lncRNA from 1 species